rnacentral:lncRNA from 1 species
UACAAAAGCAAACAAACUGUUAGGUUUCGUGAGGAGAAGCGGUAGAGAAAUAACAAACACAAGGACUCGUCGCACACUUUAUCUGUCAGUGGUUCGCCCUGUUCUUGCCUAUGCAAGUCAGGUAUGGUCGCCCCAGUCCAUAGGUCUCAUCAAACGAACAGAACGUAUCCAGAGAAGAGCUUCCAAGUUCAUACUGAAUCUUCCCUUCAUGUGUAGUGAGUCUUACCGUGAUAGGUUGAUCACUUUAGAACUGAU